CCCCAACCCGACCCGACCCGGGCAAAGAGCAGAAAUGUCAGCGGGCAUGGAAAUGCCGUUUUAUCCUCGUCUUUGACAUUUUCCAAAAUGCUGUGCGGCGUGCCUUCAUGUCCAUGUGCGUGUGUGUUUGUA